CGCUUUUUGAAAUUAGAUAAAAAGUAGGACCUGCCCACUGAGAGUUAAAUGGCCGCGGUAAUUUGACCGUGCGAAGGUAGCAUAAUCAUUUGUCUAUUAAUUGUAGACUGGAAUGAAUGGUUAAAAUGAAUAAUUACUGUCUUAAAUGCAAAUAUGAAUUUAUAUAUUUUGUGAAGAUACAAAAAUGAUGAUAAAAGACGAGAAGACCCUAUAAAGCUUUAUAUAAAAUUAGUUUUUUAGGAAGUAAAAUUUGUUUUGUAUUUUGUUGGGGCGAUGGUGAAAAUAAUAAACUUUCAUUUAAAAUAAUAAAAUAAUUAAAUUUAUGAUCCAGAUUAUGAUUAUAAGAACAAGUUACUUUAGGGAUAACAGCGUAAUCCUACCAGAGAGUUCAAAUUGAUGGUAGGGGUUGCGACCUCGAUGUUGAAUUAGGAUACCUUUAUGGGUGUAGCCGUUCUUUAAGGUAGACUGUUCGUCUAUUAAAAUCCUACA
rnacentral:rRNA from 1 species